rnacentral:rRNA from 1 species
UGGGGAAUAUUGCACAAUGGGCGAAAGCCUGAUGCAGCAACGCCGCGUGAGUGAUGAAGGUCUUCGGAUUGUAAAGCUCUGUCUUUUGGGACGAUAAUGACGGUACCAAAGGAGGAAGCCACGGCUAACUACGUGCCAGCAGCCGCGGUAAUACGUAGGUGGCGAGCGUUGUCCGGAUUUACUGGGCGUAAAGGGUGCGUAGGCGGAUGUUUAAGUGAGAUGUGAAAUACCCGGGCUUAACUUGGGUGCUGCAUUUCAAACUGGAUAUCUAGAGUGCAGGAGAGGAGAAUGGAAUUCCUAGUGUAGCGGUGAAAUGCGUAGAGAUUAGGAAGAACACCAGUGGCGAAGGCGAUUCUCUGGACUGUAACUGACGCUGAGGCACGAAAGCGUGGGUAGCAAACAGGAUUAGAUACCCUGGUAGUCCACGCCGUAAACGAUGAGUACUAGGGUGUAGGAGGUAUCGACCCCUUCUGUGCCGCAGUAAACACAUUAAGUACUCCGCC